GGGGAUUUAGCUCAGUGGUAGAGCACUUGCCUUGCAAGCACAAGGCCCUGGGUUCGGUCCCCAGCUCCG
rnacentral:tRNA from 1 species